UUCCCACAGAUUUUUGCCUCGAGUUAACUUUUGCUUAUUUUUGGCUAAUAAAUGUUUAAAACCUUUAGGAAAGCAGGUCAAUGGGGGUGAGGUUCGUGUUGGAUCAAUCAUACUCUGCAGAUGGAAUUGGUAUCUUCAUUAAAAGCUCAAAAAGUUCAAACAUGACAGAUGAAAGAACUUGAAAACCCUAUGCGGAUUUCUCUUUUGGCUAGAGUUUCCUCAUCGUCAAUCUGGUUCUGAACUGUAUGCUUGGCCUGAUUUGCACGUUGCCAUUCAGUGAUGGAUUUGUUAUCAUUUGGCCUCUCAUUGAAGUGCUGCUUGGGGAUAGAGACCAUCCAACACUUAAUCACAAAGAGUAGUAUAUCUGACCACGUAUAGCAUCAUUUUGUUGAACAUAUUUGAGAUACCAUAUUAGUUCGAUGAAGGAGUGCAUAGAAGAUGGAGAUUUUCAAGUCAGGUAGUAUACUGUGGCAUAUUGGUACUAUCAUUCCUAUGUUGAUCUUUUGAUUUAUAUGGAUUGCAAGGAAUGAUUCAGCACAACACUACAACAGAGUUUGCUUUUUAUGGGAUGUAAUGUAUGUCAUAAAAAAAUAGUUUACGGUAUAU